GUGGGGAAUAUUGGACAAUGGGCGAAAGCCUGAUCCAGCCAUGCCGCGUGUGUGAAGAAGGUCUUCGGAUUGUAAAGCACUUUAAGUUGGGAGGAAGGGCAGUAAGUUAAUACCUUGCUGUUUUGACGUUACCGACAGAAUAAGCACCGGCUAACUUCGUGCCAGCAGCCGCGGUAAUACGAAGGGUGCAAGCGUUAAUCGGAAUUACUGGUCGUAACGCGCGCGUAGGUGGUUUUGUAAGUUGGAGGUGAAUUCCCCGGGCUCAACCUGGGAACUGCCUCCAAAACUGCAUGACUAGAGUACGGUAGAGGGUAGUGGAAUUUCCUGUGUAGCGGUGAAAUGCGUAGAUAUAGGAAGGAACACCAGUGGCGAAGGCGACUACCUGGACUGAUACUGACACUGAGGUGCGAAAGCGUGGGGAGCAAACAGGAUUAGAUACCCGGGUAGUCC
rnacentral:rRNA from 1 species